rnacentral:rRNA from 2 species
AAAUUGAAGAGUUUGAUCAUGGCUCAGAUUGAACGCUGGCGGCAGGCCUAACACAUGCAAGUCGAACGGUAACAGGAAACAGCUUGCUGUUUCGCUGACGAGUGGCGGACGGGUGAGUAAUGUCUGGGAAACUGCCUGAUGGAGGGGGAUAACUACUGGAAACGGUAGCUAAUACCGCAUAACGUCGCAAGACCAAAGAGGGGGACCUUCGGGCCUCUUGCCAUCGGAUGUGCCCAGAUGGGAUUAGCUAGUAGGU